rnacentral:rRNA from 1 species
AGAGACAGCAGUCGCCGCGGUAACACAGAGGGUGCAAGCGUUAAUCGGAAUUACUGGGCGUAAAGCGCGCGUAGGUGGUUUGUUAAGUUGGAUGUGAAAUCCCCGGGCUCAACCUGGGAACUGCAUUCAAAACUGACUGACUAGAGUAUGGUAGAGGGUGGUGGAAUUCCCUGUGUAGCGGUGAAAUGCGUAGAUAUAGGAAGGAACACCAGUGGCGAAGGCGACCACCUGGACAAAUACUGACACUGAGGUGCGAAAGCGUGGGGAGCAAACAGGAUUAGAUACCCGAGUAGUCCCUGUCUCUUAUAA